UGGGUAACCUGCCUCAAAGAGGGGAAUAGCCUCCCGAAAGGGAGAUUAAUACCGCAUAAUAUGUUUAGGUCGCAUGACUUUAACAUCAAAGGAUUUUCUUUUAGAAAUUCCACUUUGAGAUGGACCCGCGGCGCAUUAGCUAGUUGGUGAGGUAACGCUCACCAAGGCAACGAUGCGUAGCCGACCUGAGAGGGUNAUCGGCCACAUUGGAACUGAGACACGGUCCAGCUCC
rnacentral:rRNA from 1 species